CGUGUACACUUCAUCGUUAAAUUGUUAACAAAUUGUUUCAUUUUGCGACGUCGUUUUUUGGAUCGAACAAAAUGCAGCGAAUACAUAAAUCUAAUUGAAAUUUUUGGGAACCACACACUGAAAAGUGUUCUAUUUUAUGUGCCGUAAUGUUUUGAUAGACUAAAAAGAAAUUGAGUUUUAUAAAGUCGCAUACAGCACAACCAGUAUGUGUCAAGACAAGCAUUGAGAUAGCGGUCAAUAAAUUCGCAGCGAAUGGAGAGUGUACUUGUAUUCAGUACGUGUUUCGAAUACAUGGCGAGUGCAAAUGAGUAUGACAAAUAAACAGCGUACGAGACGUCAGUGGUUGAAUCGGGCAAAAAAACAAACCGAAUCAAAUAGUAGAGAGUCGCAAAGUGAUUGCAAAGCGAAAAGUGGAAAGGACAACGCAUAUAUUGCAAAAACGAGAAGUUUGGAAUCGGUUUCGGCAGGCAAUUCAUAGCACUGGACAUAAGACACUCAUCAUGCGGAAGGAAAAGAAAAUUUUCUUUUUGUUUGGCAUUUAUAUUGGAAGCCAUUGUUAUUGGGUAAUCAAGUGUAACACGAAUUUGAUUUAUUGUUGUGCGAAAUAAUUGAAAAUGGAGAUACAGCCCAUUGACGAUUUAAAUUUAUGUAAAUAUUCAUGCAGAAAACAUUUUUUUGAGAAAUACCAUGAUGAUAAAUGUUAUAUUUGUAGUUUGAAAC